UACAUGCAAGUCGAACGGUAAGGUCCGAAGUGGCAACACGGAGGAUACACGAGUGGCCGCACGGGUGCGUAACGCGUAUGCAACCUGCCCCCGACCGGGACAAAACCAGGCUGGAAACGGCUAGCUAAUAUCCCAUGGUCAGUGCGGAAGGGCAUCCUUCGUUCAUGUAAAGAUUCAUUGGUCGGGGAUGGGCAUGCGUAUUAUUAGGUAGUUGGCGGGGUAACGGCCCACCAAGCCGACGAUGAUUAGGGGUCCUGAGAGGGUUAACCCCCACACUGGAACUGAGACACGGUCCAGACUCCUACGGGAGGCAGCAGUAGGGAAUAUUGGGCAAUGGGAGCAAUCCUGACCCAGCCAUGCCGCCGUGAAGGAAGACGGCCCUAUGGGUUGUAAACUUCUUUUGCCGCAGAGUAAACCCGGUCACGAGUGGUCGGUUGAGAGUAUGCGGCGAAUAAGUAUCGGCUAACUCCGUGCCAGCCGCCGC
rnacentral:rRNA from 1 species